rnacentral:rRNA from 1 species
GUCCACGCCCUAAACUAUGUCAACUAGUUGUCGGGUCUUAAUAGGCUUGGUAACGUAGCUAACGCGUGAAGUUGACCGCCUGGGGAGUACGGUCGCAAGAUUAAACUCAAAGGAAUUGACGGGGACCCGCACAAGCGGUGGAUUAUGUGGAUUAAUUCGAUGCAACGCGAAACCUUACCUACCCUUGACAUGUCAGAAAGUUUUCAGAGAUGAAUUUCGUGCCCGAAAGGGAAUCUGAACACAGGUGCUGCAUGGCUGUCGU